rnacentral:rRNA from 1 species
CUCUUCCGGGAGGGGAACCUGGGGAAGGAUCAUUAGAGAACCUGGGCCUGCGCUACUUGCGGGGCUCCAACCAAUACACAGUGUGUUAUACUUCUUUUGCUUUGGCUUUGCCAAAGGUUUUAAACACAGAAAUUUAUUUUCUUUAAGAACAGUCAAUUUGAAUUUUAAUUUUCAAAACUUUCAACAACGGAUCUCUUGGUUCUCGCAACGAUGAAGAACGCAGCGAAAUGCGAUACGUAAUGUGAAUUGCAGGUUUUCGUGAAUCAUCGAAUCUUUGAACGCAUAUUGCGCUCUUUGGCAUUCCAGAGAGCAUGCCUGUUUGAGCGUCAUUUCUCUCUCAAGAUCCUCUAGGGGACUUGGUAUUGAGUGAUACUCUGUGUUAACUUGAAAUACUCUAGGCAGAGCUCCCCCCUAGAAACCCUCUGGGCCGAAAUAAUGUAUUAGGUUCUACCAACUCGUUAUUUUCCAGACCGACUUCCAGGCGGAGCUCGGCUUAACAACCUUUCUAAGCUUGACCUCAAAUCAGGUAGAACAACCCCCUGAACUUAAGCAUAUCAAUAACCGAAGGAAAA